GCUCGGGGGCCACCUUUGUAACAGCUUCUCUUGUCUUCAUAGCCAAGGCCCAGAAGAUUGAGAUGGACAAAUUGGAAAAGGCCAAAAAGGAGCGAACGAAAAUUGAGUUUGUGACGGGCACCAAGAAAGGCACCACGACCAACGCCACAUCCACCACCACUACCACUGCUAGCACAGCUGUUGCAGAUGCUCAGAAGAGAAAGAGCAAGUGGGACUCGGCUAUCCCAGUGACAACGAUAGCCCAGCCCACCAU
rnacentral:sRNA from 1 species